GAUGAACGCUGGCGGCGUGCUUAACACAUGCAAGUCGAACGGGAAAUAUUUCAUUGAGACCUCGGUGGAUUUGAUUUAUUUCUAGUGGCGGACGGGUGAGUAACGCGUGGGUAACCUGCCUUAUACAGGGGGAUAACAGUCAGAAAUGGCUGCUAAUACCGCAUAAGCGCACAGAGCUGCAUGGCUCAGUGUGAAAAACUCCGGUGGUAUAAGAUGGACCCGCGUUGGAUUAGCUAGUUGGUGGGGUAACGGCCCACCAAGGCGACGAUCCAUAGCCGGCCUGAGAGGGUGAACGGCCACAUUGGGACUGAGACACGGCCCAGACUCCUACGGGAGGCAGCAGUGGGGAAUAUUGCACAAUGGGGGAAACCCUGAUGCAGCGACGCCGCGUGAAGGAAGAAGUAUCUCGGUAUGUAAACUUCUAUCAGCAGGGAAGAUAGUGACGGUACCUGACUAAGAAGCCCCGGCUAACUACGUG
rnacentral:rRNA from 1 species